rfam:Stegodyphus mimosarum contig116192, whole genome shotgun sequence.
GCUUUCGUGGUGUAAUGGUCAACACACUCGGCACGCAUUCGAGAAGUCCGUGGUUCGAGUCCCGGUGACGGCG